ACUCGGUGUCAGCAGUAUAAAUCCACCACUCCCAGUAGCCUUUUAUUUCUAUUUUAUUUGAUAAGACAGAGAGAAAUUGAGAGACGACUGACAAGGAGAGAGAAAGAUAGAGACCUGCAGACUUGCUUCACUGUUUGUGAAGCCUGCCUCCUGCAGGUGAGGAGUGGGGACUAAAACCAGGGUCUGUGUGCAUGGCAACAUGAGCGCUCAAGGCUCAAUCACCGCCUGCCCCCUCCCUCUCUUGUCUUCUUCGUAAACUUGUAAAAAUGUCACCAACUUGAACUCUCCACAGUUGUAACUUCUGGAAUGUUUAUAGUUGCCACUGAUUAGAGCCCUCUUAGACUCUGGGUCUUUCAAUACCUGAAAGUUCAGUACUCUAGAAGUGGAUGGAUGAUUGUGAAAGAGGGUUGGAAAUGUCAGUGAGUGGAAGACGAAGAGUGUGCCCUAGGGAAUGGCUCUGAGAUCCACUUCUCAGAAAGAGCCACAUAAGGACAUAUUGUUCUUUUGUCCAAGAGAUAGAAAUAAAAAUCAAUUUUCAUUUUGCCCAUCAUCUCUAUCUUUUGCUUAAGUAGUGAAUUCACUAGCAUAUAAGGCACAUAGAAAGUGUAUGGGAGGGUGGUACACCUGGUGGAGCGUCACAGUGCACAAGAACCUGGGUUUGAGCCCCUAGUCCCCACCUGCAGGGCAAAAACCUCAUGAGCAGUGAAACAGGGCUGCAAGAAUUUCUGUCUCUUCCCUUUUCUAUGACCCUUCCCUCUCGAUUUCUAGCUGUCUCUAUCCACUAAAUAAAUAAACGUAAAAAUUUACAAAAUAGGAAAGUGUAUGUGUGCUUCUAAUUGCAAUUAAAGAAGAUAAGAUGAGCAAGUUUAGUUUUUGAAAGGAAGAUUUGUCUUGGAAAAAGAAAACAUUCACUUUUUCUUGGUUUUAGCCUUGACAGAAGGUUCAGCCAAAUCUGACUAGACUGACUGAAAUACUGACCAGCUAGCCUGUUGUCACCAGACCUAGGAGUUCAGAAUUGUCCCUCCCACCCUAUUUGGACCACUUUCAAAAUAACAGGAUUUCUGAUGCAUUCUCCCACAGACUUCUAGAAAUUGAAACACCAUUCUGAUAGCUUCUUAUAAUGUGCGUAGGGGGAGUGAGAUAGAAAAAGGUGAUUAUUAAUGUGAUUCAAUGCCAUUGAAUCAUAUCCUUUGGUGGGCAAAGACCAAUAAAGGCAUUUUUACAAGA